UGGAGAAAUUUUUUUUAAUCU
rnacentral:piRNA from 1 species